rnacentral:lncRNA from 1 species
UAUAAAAGAUUUGGACAUUUUCACUUCCACGGGUUGAAGAUCCUGCAUCGAAAGAGCAUGAUGAGAGACUUACCAGUCAUAAAAGAGAUUGAUGCAGUAUGCGAAGGAUGUUUGCUUGGGAAACAACACCGCUAACCAUUUUCGUCUGAAAAAAUCUUGGAGAGCUAAAAAGCCAUUAGAGCUUAUACAUACAGAUAUUUGCGGUCUGAUGCGUACUCCAUCACAUGAGCAAAACAGGUACUUCAUUCUCUUUAUUGAUGACUACACUAGAAUGACAUGGGUAUAUUUUUUAUGUGAAAAACCCUAAGUAUUUGAGCUUUUUAAAAGGUUCAAAAGCCAUGUUAAAAGGUAAAGUGGUUGCAAUAUCAAAACUAUCUGAAGCGACAGAGGUAAAGAAUAUACAUCAAAUGAAUUCAACAAGUUUUAUGAAGAUAAAGGAAUGGAGCAUCAACUCACAGUUGGAUGCAUGCCUGAACAAAAUGGCAUGUCAGAAAGAAAGAAUAGAACAGUAAUGGAGAUAACUAGAGCUAUGCUAAUAGAGAAAAAUAUUCCAAAAAUUUUUGGGCGAAAGUAGUAAGCAUUGCAAUCUACCUACUAAAUCGAUGUCCGACUAAAGUUGUGCAAGACAAAACACCAGUGGGAACAUGGAGCGGACGAAAACCAUCAGCAAAGCAUCUCAGAGUUUUUGGCUGCAUCUACUACACACAUAUUCCACAGGAAAAAAGAGGUAAGCUAGAUGAAAAAUCAGAAAAAAAGGAAUCUUCUUAGGGUAUAGUACUCAAUCGAAAGGCUAUCGAGUACAUAGCCUAAUAAAAAAAAAGCUAAUUAUAAGUCGAGACGUUAAGUUUGAUGAAGAUGCCAUCUAUAAUUGGGAGACUGGCCAAGUCGAAAGAAAAAGCUAUCAUCAUCCUAACACAACCACAAAAACAAGAGGGUGACGUUAAAGAGAACAAUCAACUAGAGACCCUACAACAAGCAACUAUAGGAAAACUAGCCGACUCACCAUAAUCGUCACCAAGAAAAACAUGAAGAUUAUUGGAAAUAUAUCAAAGUUGUACCUUGAUGAUUGUUGAACCUAAAAGCUAUAAAAUAGCAUCAGAACAAUCAGAAUGGAGAAAAGCUAUAGAUGAAGAAAUAAAAAUGAUCGAGAAAAAUAACAUUUGAGAGCUUGUAGAUCUUCCUCAAGAUAAAGAAGUUAUAGGAGUUAAUUGGGUUUACAAGACGAAGCUUAAUACUGAUAACUCAAUCCAAAAAUAUAAAGCAAGAGUAGUCGCCAAAGAAUACUCACAAGAGUUUGGCAUCAACUACACUGAGACAUUUGUUCCAGUUACACGUCUUGACGCUAUAAAGGUGUUGAUUGCACUAACUGCACAUAAAAAGUGGAAGAUUUACUAGCUAAACGUCAAAUCAGCAUUUUUUAAUGGUUAUUUGGAAGAAGAAAUUUAUAUAGAGCAACCUCAAAGGUACGUGGUACAAGGUAAAGAAGAUAAGGCUCUUAAAUUAAGGAAGGCACUAUAUGGAUUAAAGCAAGCUCCGCGAGCUUGGUACAACAGAAUAGACAACGACUUUACUGAGCAAGGAUUAAGGAGGAGCCAAAAUAAACCAACUCUAUACAUCAAAAAUCAAGGUACAAAUAGUACACUUAUAAUCUCUUUAUAUGUUGAUGAUCUCAUCUAUACAUGGAACGAUGAGAAGAUGAUCGAGAAAUUCAAGGCAAAUAUGAUGACAACAUUCAAAGAUGACUAAUCUGGGAUUAAUGCACUAUUUCUUGGGAUUGAGAUAGCUCAAUCUGAAGAUAAGAUCUUCAUUACUCAGAAGAAGUAUACCAUUAGUCUAUUAAAGAAGUUCAAGAUGGAAGGUUGCAAAACAGUAGUAACACCCUUGGAUAUCAACAAAUCUCUCAGAAAAGAAGACGAUACUCCAAAUUUGGACAACUCACAAUUUCGAAGCUUAAUUGGAAGUUCACUCUAUCUCACAGCUACAAGGCCAAACAUAAUGUAUGCAACCAGCAUACUUUCAUGAUUCAUACAAAAUCCAAGUCAAAUUCACUAUAGAGCUGCAAAACGAAUACUAAGAUACCUCUAAGGAACAAAAGUCAGUCUUUGCCUGACUCAAGACUACUUGGGUAUACUAAUAGCAAUUGUGUAGGAACAAUAGAUGAUAUGAAGAGCCCAUCAGGUUACGCACUCACACUAGAUUUUGAAAUAUUUUCUUGGGCAUUAAAGAAACAAGCAACGGUUACACAAUCAUCAGCUGAAGAAGAGUAUAUUGCAUCAACAAUGGCAACAAGUCAAGCUAUAUGGCUAAAACGCAUAAUUGAAGACAGGGGAGAACCACAAGAUGAAGCUACAGAGAUUUACUGCGACAGUAAGUCUACAAUAGCAAUGACCAAGAAUCUCACAUUCCACAGCAGAACCAAACACGUUGGGAUCAAAGACCAUUUCAUCAUAAAAGCUGAAGCAAAUAAAGAGAUAGAGCUCAAACAUUACAAGAUUGAAGAACAAUUAGCAAAUAUAUUUACUGUUACCACUAGCAAAGUUUGAGUUACUACGAGAAAUGAUCGGAGUAAUCAAAAUAUGCACCAAUGAGGAGUAUUAAUGGUUGUAGAAUAUUUUAAUAUUACUCUAAAAUUCACUAAAAUUGCCUUGGGGGGGCAAGAAAAUAGAAGUCCCUAGCAUUUCUUGAUGAGCAAGCAAAAAUAGUAAUUAAAAAUUAAAAAAUAAGAAUUUUCUAGAAUAGUGUUCACCACCAUUUUGUGUGUAUAAAUAGGGACUACCACCUUCAAAAUUUUGUAACAAAAAAUUGAAAAGAGCAUCCAACCUCUUGCAUUGUAAAUCAAAAGCCACUUUGUAAAACUUUAAUAAAAUUACUUUCUUCCUCCUUCAACUAUCUUGUUCAAUUAAAUUACUCCUAUCAUUUCUAUCCUACAUAAAAUCUACUCAACCACUUCUAUCUCAACCCAUUUAUUUCUUCUACUCAAAAUAAAAAACCUUCAGUUGAUUUUGGCUCUUUUAAGAGAAAAUUAUAUGAAUCCCAUUAUAUUUGACAAACAAAUUAUAUAUAAAAAGUUUACCAAAUGGAUACUAAAAGCAUGGUCAACCAAGUAAAAAUCUUGGGGAAACUGAGCAAGAAAUACAAUCAUUUUAUACAUAGAAACUUCAUUACUCUACAAGACUCAAGACAUAUCUCGAUUAAUUCACUAACUGCAAUCCAACGAAAGUCUUCAAAAAGCUAAGCAAGAAAUUCAAUCAAUUAAUAAAAAGAAACAGAAAUGAGCCACACAAAAAAAAAAAAAAGGAUCCUUACUUGAGCGAGAAGUUGCUUAAUUGAGAAGAGAAAGAGAUAGAAUGAGAAACUUGUGAAUCUGAACUGGGUUUAAACUGAGGGUCUUUAGAAGCAAUUCUUGAUGAGGCCUGCAAAGAAUGAGGAGCAGUGGAAGCCAUUUUAGGAGAGUUUCGUGGAGUUUGAAUCUUGAAAAUGGAUUCCAACAGGAAAAAACAAUAAUUUUAUAAUGAA